rnacentral:rRNA from 1 species
UACAGAGGGGGCAAGCGUUAUUCGGAAUUAUUGGGCGUAAAGGGCGCGUAGGCGGCCUGGCAAGUGACGGGUGAAAGCCCUCGGCUCAACCGAGGAACUGCCUGUCAUACUGCCGGGCUUGAGUCCGGGAGAGGUGAGUGGAAUUCCCAGUGUAGCGGUGAAAUGCGUAGAUAUUGGGAGGAACACCAGUGGCGAAGGCGGCUCACUGGACCGGAACUGACGCUGAGGCGCGAAAGAGUGGGGAGCAAACAGG